rnacentral:rRNA from 1 species
GGCGAACGGGUGAGUAACACGUGAGUAAUCUGCCCUGCACUCUGGGGUAAGCCUGGGAAACUGGGUCUAAUACUGGAUAUGACCUUUCUCCUUAUGGGGUUUGGUGGAAAGUUUUUCGGUGUAGGAUGAGCCCGCGGCCUAUCAGCUUGUUGGUGGGGUGAUGGCCUACCAAGGCGACGACGGGUAGCCGGCCUGAGAGGGUGAUCGGCCACAUUGGGACUGAGAUACGGCCCAG